CGACAGCUCGCUGGAUAAGUUCCUCCUGGCCUCCGGUCGAGUCUCUAGCGCCUACCAGGGACUGGAGAGCUGACGUCCAGCUGCCUUGCUCACCAAACGAUUUCUAAGACCGUGAGAGCAAGUCUUCAGGGAGACUCCAGGUCAGUUCCUGGAGAUUCCUUCGAAGUCCAAAGUGUAUGGUGUCUUUCGCAACUUAACUUCAAGUUCUGGUAGGCAACCCAAAGCAAUAGCAAUAGGAGUGAUGUGGGGGUCUUUGGGGCAUCUCUGACCAACGACUUAAAAGGAGGUUAUCCCACACCCGGCACUGGGCUUUUAUUUUGCAUCUGACCCAGCCAAGAAAAAACAAGGGGACAGUGAUCACCAGUAAUGGAAAACUUCACCUCAAAAUAUUUUGUCCCACUCUCAUUGUGCCCCAGUUAUCAAGUAUUUCACAUUGAAAAUGCUAAAUAGUUGAGGAGAUAACUAUGGGCAACUUGUGAGCAUUGUACAAUGUGUACAUUGAUAUGUACAAUUUUAUGUUUGUAUAUGGAUUAAAGAACCAAUUUAAUUAAUAACAAUAGACUUUAUUUAUGGUGAGUUUCUCUGCUCUUGCCCAAGUCCUUCAGGAGCUGAAAUUUGUGUGCAAAUUUCUACUUACUGAUUCUGCUCCCUUUCUCCUCUCUCUCUCCCCUCUCCUCUCCACCACUUCCACAGGAUGACUGACUGGUGUGAGGUACCACCUCCUCCUUUACAUUUUCACGACGUCAGUGCUUUAUAAUAUGAACGUCUUGUGGUAUUUACAGGCAGCUCUUUUGAAUGUUUUGUUUGUCACCACCUAUAUUUAACCUUCUAUUUAUGAUGGUUUUGAUUUAUAGCCAGAUAUGUCAAGUCAGCUCCUUGAAGUUAGGAGACAGUCACUUUAAGGAAUAUUUAUUGAGUACCUAUGAUGUACUAGGAACUGUUCAGCUAAUGCACAGAAUUCUGAUAGCAAAAGCCUUUUGGGAAACUUGCAGUUGGGUCUCUAUUUUCAAUUUUAAUUCAAAUCAAAAGAGAAUUACCCUUUAAGUACUUUUACCAACUAAUACCAUACAUGUCAUAUGAUUAGAUAUAUCCUAAUUAUAUCUGAGGUGAAUGACGUCUGUCAAAAACUGUGAAAGUGGUUUUAGGGAGCAAUUUGAAGAGAUAGGGUACAGGAUGCUGCCCUUCAUGAAGAACUUGAACUCUUAUUGAUUGGCUUCCUUUGCCCCCAGCUUCUUGACUCCUUGCUUGCUCAUCUCAGGGAUUUCACAAACUGGUCUAAGGAUCUAUUUUCUCUUAUACACAAAUUAUAGCAAAAUACACACUGUGUACUCAACACUUCCCUGAUUACAAGGCCAAUAGAAGUAACUGAUAUACUAAACCAUGUCACUCAUGGUUCUUUGGUUGGUUUGUGGAGGUGAUGAGCUCAGCGUGGUUCCAGAAGUCUUGCAUUUCACUUGCUUGCUCAUGUAAGAUCUACAGCAAACCAGGAAACGACCUCACCCAGCACAGAUCAAUAGUCAACCAAAUCACUGCAUGUAAUAAAUGUUUGUAGGCAGGUCUUUCUUCAUUGGGGUAACCAGCUGUCCUGAUUCCCUGCCAACUAUGAGGAGUCCAAGGACAUGGGCUAGAGCUAAAACUAGGUCAGUCCCUCCCUGGGAGUGUCCCUGGCAAAUGCUGCUGCUGGCCAUGCUUUUCACAAGCAAUAAUGAAGGAGGAUGAAAGCCAGAACACACUUGGGAAUCUCUCCAGGCCAUGUAGGGCUGAGAGGACAGCAGCCCUUCCCUCUUCUAUCCUUACCCAAACUAACUUUUCUUUUUCCCUAAGACCAGGAAAAGGAACUCAGAAUUUCAAGGACUGCGGUGCGGGGAGAGGAAGGGAAGGAAGAAGGAAGAGAUGAAGAUACACAUAUAUACACACACAUAUGUAUGUAUAUAUGUAUGUAUGUAUGUAUGUGUGUAUGUAUAGAGUGAACUAAUUAGGAUGAAUUCAUAUGACUUAAACUAAAAUAUUAAUCAUCUAAUUAUUUGAAUUUAUGUUGAAGUACUGUGCUUAACAAUCCAUCCAUCUCCUCCUUUGAAACAUUGUUUGUAUCAAACCCAACUUCAAACUCAAUGUUUGCCUAUAUCACCUUAUUAUAGAAAAGCAUAAAUAACCCCCAAAACAUUUAACUUCAAUUAAAUACAAAUAAAAUAAUGUGAGUUUA